rnacentral:misc_RNA from 1 species
UACAGAGACUCCAAGCGUUAUUCGGAUUCACUGGGCGUAAAGGGUGCGCAGGCGGCCGCAUGUGUCAGGUGUGAAAGCUCCGGGCUUAACCCGGAAAUUGCGCGUGAAACUAUGCGGCUGGAGUUUUGGAGAGGGAAGCGGAAUUCUCGGUGUAGCGGUGAAAUGCGUAGAUAUCGAGAGGAACACCAAAGGCGAAGGCAGCUUCCUGGACAACAACUGACGCUCAGGCACGAAAGCGUGGGUAGCGAACGGG